rnacentral:rRNA from 1 species
GUCUGGUCCAUUGCCUUUCCACCAACACACACAUAAAUUACACAUGCAAGUAUCUGCACCCCCGUGAAAACGCCCUUAAUCUUAAUAAAAGACAAGGAGCUGGUAUUAGGCACAGAUUUUCUAGCCCAUAACACCUAGCUUAUGCCACACCCACAAGGGUACUCAGCAGUGAUAAACAUUGCAAAUAAGCGAAAGCUUGAAUCAGUUAUAGUGUUUUAGAGCAGGCCAAUUCGGUGCCAGCCGCCGCGGCUAUACCGCCAAGCUCAAGUUGUGGAACAACGGCGUCAAGCGUGUUUUAAGUUAUCUAUUAAAUAGAAUCAAAUAGUAUAUCAAGCAGUGAUAUGUUGAUUAUUCAGAAGCACACAACGAAAGUAAUUCUAAUACAACUUGAAUCCACGACAGCUGAGAAACAAACUGGGAUUAGAUACCCCACUAUGCUUAGCCGUAAAAAAUUAAAUUACACCUAAAAUC